rnacentral:rRNA from 1 species
AUGCCCCGACAAACGUUCUUUGUCGACCGUGCUCGUAGCUCGCCUCGCGCACCGAGCCCACCCAGAGCGCGCGACAGCACGCGGGUGCGCGACCUGACGCCGACGCCCUCUCCCUUCCCCUCUCUGUCACCACCGCCACCUCCAACCAUGACAGUCGAGGAGGAGCGGCUGGUGCAAGCCGUGAUGAAGGACUACGAGAGGGAGUUUAAGCGCAGACAAGAGGAGCAACGGGAGGAGCUGCACGAGAUGAUGGCGCUCUCGGUUGCCGGAGAUGUCUACGUUCCGGAGCUGGAUGUGAAGCAGGAGGUGAAGGAGGAGAUGAUGGAGGACCGACCGCCCACCCCGGUGUGGAACCCUACGCUGUAUGGGCAGUCAUGA